AGGUAGACUGCGAAUGCAAACAUCAUCGUCUGUCUCCUGAUACCAUACCUGCAAUUCUUGAUAUAUAAAUAAAUAUAAUAUUAAACAAUAAUAAUAUAAAAUAAAUUAUAUUCUAAUGAAUAGAAUUAUAUCAUAUACUAUUAUUUUAAGAAAAGAUUGAACAAAGAAUAUAGAUCUACUCAUCAAUAUUCGUAUCUUCCUCGAUGUAUAGAUCUUCCUCCGAAUCAUAAUAAUCGAUAUG
rnacentral:lncRNA from 1 species